UUUUCUCAAGAAGUGUGUUAAAUACAGUUUUAGGUUAUUAACAAUGUUAUAAUAGAAACUAUGCUAUGUAAUACACUUUUUUUAUAGCAAGGACUCAGCCUGUCAGAGCCAGUAUGAGACUCCAGCAGGCACUAAAGGUCCUCUCAAACCCUUCAUCCACUGUGAAAAAUGAGUAUUUUAUGAUUGGCUUUUCAUGCAUAUUAAAAGGAAUAUUAUAUUUUAAAUAUUAUAUUUAUUAAUUUAUAUAUAUUAUAUUAUGUUAGGAAGUUGUGCUGUAUUAGUUUUCUCAAGUAGUGUGUUAAAUACAGUUUUAGGUGAUAACACAAUGUUAAAAUAGAAACUAUGCUAUGUAAGAUGGUUUUUUAAAGAAAGGACUUGCAGUGAGACAGCAGCCACGGGACAUCUGAAUCUUUCAGAGAAAGAGAAUUUAUUCUCUCUUAUCAGAAGAAAGGAACAACUUCCCACCUUGCUCAGCCCUGAAGGUGCUGUCAGGAUUCAGAGGAAGAAGCUGACCCUGCCCAGACAGAAUUCUGUGUUGGAAUGGAAUUUAUGCAUCAUGGAUGAGGUGUAUGAAUAUGCAACAGAAAACAAGCAAGCUCUCUGAAGAAGCCCUUUUCUUUUUUUUGCUUUAUGGAGAGAGACUGGCAGCUCUAUGGAGAGACUGCAAUGCCAACAAAUUCUGUGGCCAGGCCAAAGCUAAUUAAUCUUCUGCUGCAGCUGUUGAAGAUGAUGGAGAAUGCAUCAGUGCAAUGCCCAGGAAACAUUUGUAAACAUGGCAAACAUGUGUUACUGCUUUUUGAUCUUCUAAAAUUACAGUGAAUAAAAUAACAAUCAAACACCA